AUUCCUUCAGUAAUGGCGAAUGAACAGGGAUCAGCUCAGCAUGGAAAUCGAGCCCUCUGGCCUUGAAUUGUAGUCUCGAGAAGUACUGCCAACGGAGGCGCAUAUGUAAGCCUCUUGGAAAAGAGCAUCGACGAGGGCGAGAGUCCCGCUUGUCAUCAGCAGUCCCCCGUUCACGGCGUACCUUCUAAGAGUCGCGUUCCUCGGAAUUGGAGCGUCAAGUGGGUGGUAAAUUUCAUCUCAAGCUAAAUAUCGGUUCGAGACCGAUAGCAAACAAGUACCAUGAGGGAAAGGUGAAAAGGACUUUGAAAAGAGAGUUAAAAGUGCUUGAAAUUGCUGAAUGUGAAGCGAAUGGAACCAGUAUUNCUUGGCGAGAUUGUCAUGCGCUAAGGUGAUUGCUUGUUGUCUAAACGCAAGUGUGGUGGCAAGCUUUGAUCUGGACGUGUGUGGUGAUUCUUGCCUUGUGUGUCAACGCCAGUUCUCAACCGAGGAAAGCUCCAGGGACAUGGUGGCAUGCUUCCAGGUGUGUGAAUGUGCCUGGCAGAACUCAUUUGUGAAUUGAUUUUUGUGUGUGUGUGGUUGCAGUGUUCAGUGUGUGGCUUGGGCGACUGGGCAUUUCCCUGACAUGCAGACGCUGACUAAAUGGUUCUAUUCGACCCGUCUUGAAACACGGACCAAGGAGUCUAACAUAUGUGCGAGUUCACGGGUGGGUAAACCUACAUGCGCAAUGAAAGUGACUGCUGGGAUCUUUGCACCAGCAACCGACCAAUCAAUUGAGAGAGGCUUGAGUAUGAGCAUAUCUGUUAGGACCCGAAAGAUGGUGAACUAUGCCUGAGAAGGGCAAACUCAGGGGAAACUCUGAUGGAGGCUCGUAGCGAUACUGACGUGCAAAUCGUUCGUCAUACUUGGGUAUAGGGGCGAAAGACUAAUCGAACCAUCUAGUAGCUGGUUCCCUCCGAAGUUUCCCUCAGGAUAGCUGGAGCUGAACAGUUUCAUCAGGUAAAGCGAAUGAUUAGAGGAAUCGGGGGCGUGUUGUCCUCGACCUAUUCUCAAACUUUAAAUGGGUAAGAUCCAGUGGUUGCUUGGGUGAACCUCUGGGAUAAAUGACAACUCUAAGUGGGCCAUUUUUGGUAAGCAGAACUGGCGAUGAGGGAUGAACCUAACGCUGGGUUAAGGUGCUUAACUGCUCGCUCAUCAGAUACCAUAAAGGGUGUUGGUUCAUUUUAACAGCAGGACGGUGGUCAUGGAAGUUGAAAUCCGCUAAGGAGUGUGUAACAACUCACCUGCCGAAUGGACUAGCCCCGAAAAUGGAUGGCGCUCAAGCGGGUGACCGAUACCCAGCCAUUGUUGCAAUUGUGUUGCAUCAAUGAGUAGGAGGGCAUGGGGGCUUGUGAUGAAGCUUUUGGC
rnacentral:rRNA from 1 species